rnacentral:rRNA from 1 species
AACAGGAUUAGAUACCCUGGUAGUCCACGCCCUAAACGAUGCCUACUAGUUGUCGGGUCUUAAUUGACUUGGUAACGCAGCUAACGCGUGAAGUAGACCGCCUGGGGAGUACGGUCGCAAGAUUAAAACUCAAAGGAAUUGACGGGGACCCGCACAAGCGGUGGAUGAUGUGGAUUAAUUCGAUGCAACGCGAAAAACCUUACCUACCCUUGACAUGGUCGGAAUCCCUGAGAGAUUGGGGAGUGCUCGAAAGAGAACCGAUACACAGGUGCUGCAUGGCUGUCGUCAGCUCGUGUCGUGAGAUGUUGGGUUAAGUCCCGCAACGAGCGCAACCCUUGUCAUUAGUUGCUACGAAAGGGCACUCUAAUGAGACUGCCGGUGACAAACCGGAGGAAGGUGGGGAUGACGUCAAGUCCUCAUGGCCCUUAUGGGUAGGGCUUCACACGUCAUACAAUGGUGCAUACAGAGGGCUGCCAACCCGCGAGGGGGAGCUAAUCCCAGAAAGUGCAUCGUAGUCCGGAUUGUAGUCUGCAACUCGACUACAUGAAGUUGGAAUCGCUAGUAAUCGCGGAUCAGCAUGUCGCGGUGAAUACGUUCCCGGGUCUUGUACACACCGCCCGUCACACCAUGGGAGCGGGUUUUACCAGAAGUAGGUAGCUUAACCGCAAGGAGGGCGCUUACCACGGUAGGAUUCGUGACUGGGGUGAAGUCGUAACAAGGUAACC